rnacentral:sRNA from 1 species
GGUUGGUGAAAUAUUCGCCUUCUACCAAGCUUUUGGAAAUUUUAGAUCUGUAAGUAGACUAAAAAAAAUAUGAAGCAAUAUUAUUUAUUCAAUCUUUUUUGUCUCAAAAAUGGAUACAAUUCUAUUCUCCAGACAGUUAUAAAGUUUCUCUGAUAGCUGUGGGUGUUAUUUUAUCAUCAAUUAUAAUUGUACAGUUAGUUGUCAUCAUCUUUCUGAUCAGAAGACAAGGGAUAUGUGUGAAGAAACCAGGCGAAAGAGGGCCACACGUCUAUGACCACCCCAAUAAGGAAUCUCAAUAUGAUUAUGUUAAUAAUUCCAAUUAUAAUAGUAUUGAGAUUUAAAAUUAAUUUUUGUCUUUU